UGUUGACUCUGUUCUACUUGGAAGUCCUAAGAAGAUCCUCUUUUCCUUACUAUGGAUGCUAAUAUGGGAAGGAGGAUGGGGAGAGGGAGUCUUGCCUUCUGAAUCCAAUCUUACCUUUGUAGGGAAAACAAACAAAAUGAAAACUAACACAUAUAGCACCGUCUCACCAGCUCCCACAUCAGAAACAAGAGGGAGGCACUAGAUUAUUGAUGCUUAAUGUAAUGAAUGGAAACAUCCUCUAACCUGCAUUAGGAUAUUGGCUCCUGAUUCUGGAUUCAGUUUAGAGGCGACGUUGUUGUGGGGACGAGAUCUUCAGUCUUCUAUUCAGAUCUGUCUGAAGAAGAUUCAGAACAAACAAUCUAUGGAACACUAGGACAUUGUAUAAAGCAGCUCAUGCAGAAGUAAGUGACAGGAUGAAGACUGUUUUCCAUACAGGACACCAGAAUGUCCGCGUCAUCUUCAAUUUCAAAAAUCACAGAAUCAGACUCACUUUGGUAUAAGCUGGAGACACUUUCAGCUUUAGGAAUCUCAUCUUCAAGUUCACUAUUGAAUUGGCUGAUGAAAAAGGGCAAACCGUGAAGCAAGAGCUGGAAGCUGAGAAGGGCCACCAGAAUCCAGAAGCUGGAGGAUCUGGGGCAAUGGCCGCGGCAGCACUGGACACAGGACAGCAGAAUCAGGCUGACCAUGUGCAGCAGGGAGCGCAGGAACGGCCACACAUAACUGUGUCUAAUGAUCUCCUGACAGCCAUUGGAAGAGGAGAAUAGUCCACAAAUGAUAUAUUGGAUCCCAGACACCAGAACAGCCAGGAGGCAUAUGAGGGAGCACACGAUGGCAGACAUGCGCUUAGGGCGGUUCCGUCGGUACCAAACAGGGCAGAGGAUGGCAAGGCAGCGCUCCAUGCUCAUGGUGACCAGGAUGUUCUCACUCACAGAGAUGCAAAAUUCUGAGAGUAUUAAGAAAAUUAUGUCUAAAUCAAGAGAAAAAAGCCAUUUCCCCAUAAUAUUCACACUAUGGCAGAAAAGGAAUAAGAAGUCGGCAAUGGUCAUGUUGAAGACGUAGACAGCAAAGGGACCCCUCUUAAUUCGGAAGUCCAGGAGCCAGAGGACAAUUCCAUUCACUAAAAGUCCAAAUAAAGACACUGACACAAUGAGGCUUGGGAUGAGGGGAGGAGAGGCUCUUUCCGCAGAUGUUUGCUCUGCCCAAGGUGCUGACCCUGCUCUCUUGUCAUAAUCCAACUCCUGCUGUGAUUGUGGAGAAGAGAGUUCCCAGGUGAUUAGGUCCAUUGUCUGGAAAUCUCUGCUCGGCUCUUCCUUGAACCCAAGAACAUGGAAAUGUUAGGAGAUCGUGGAAUACGCCAUUCUGCCUUCCAGCUUCAGACCUCAGACAUAAUAGGAGAGAUAGACCUUGUCUGUGCUUUUUGGGGGGUGUCUAGUGCUUAGCAUUGUACCUGGUAUAUAUUAACAAAUGAUUGUUGACUGACUGACAGAUCCUUGAGUUGGGGCAAUGACCUGUUCAUCAGCUCAGCCUUUUCUGCCCCUGCUUGUGGCCAAGUUUUAGCUCCAACCAGACUUUCCAGCUUAGAGUAGGAGGAAGAACUGAGGUUUCUUCCCAUUUUCAAGACUCAGUAAGGAAGGUUCCAUAUGGACAAGCUAAUAACAUAAGAAACAUAAGUGUGGGAGAUGGGCUUGGGGACAUGGUUUUCCUUGACAUUCUCUCUGUUCUCUGACAAACUGCCCAUUCUCUUGUUGCCCAAGAUCAUGAUGUCUGCCUGGGCCUCCCUCUUUCCCUGCCCCAGAUUUCUUUCCUGAAGCAAAUAUUAAACACAUCAGUAUCAUAAACUCCUUUCUUCUGAGCCCAACAUCUCAAUUUGAAAGCAAAAGGAGGGUGGAAGAAGACUCGAAUUAGUCUUGGAAUAGAGGCUCGGUCUUAUAUCUGCCUGACUCAGGAAAAGGUACCCCUCCCUCCAGAACUAAUGCAGGCUUGCAGGAGCAACAGUGAGCUGGGGACAGGGGAGGGAGAAGCUCCAUCCCCCAAGCUCUAGAGCUGGGACCAAGGAGACUGGAGAGAUACUGGAGGACAUCGAGGCAUGUGGUUCUUGGAGGGAGGCAAGACAAGGGAGGAACUAUGAUUUGGACACUAACUAGAAGAGAUGGCUGGAAGUUGACCACUCAGCCUCUCACUGACUUGGAUUUUGGAUGGAACCUCGGGUCUGGAUAUGGCAACAUGAAGAACUGAGUUCAAAUCGUGCCUUGGGCACUUACUAGCUGCACGACCAUGUGCAAGCACUUUACCUUCUGCAACCUCAAUUUCCUCAUUUAUAAAAUGGGGAUAAUAAGAGCACCUUUCUCAGAGGUUUAUUGUGAAGGGUGAACGAGAUGACAUGUGUAAAAUUUAAAGUACUAUAUAAAUAAUAGUUAUUAUUAAUGUUUUCUUUUCUCUCUCUGUCUCUGUCUCCCUCCUUUCUUCUCUGUCUCUUCCUAUUCCUUCCUCUCUUUUCUCUCUUCAUCUCUCUCUCUCUCUCUCUGUUUCUGUAUCUUUUUCUUUUUCUCUCCUUCUUCCUUCUUUCUAUUCCCUUGUGUUUCCUUCUCUAUGUCUGCAUUUUCUUCCUCCUAACACUAUGUGAGCUCCUUGCUCAUUGCAGACUCAUUGCAACUACAAAGAUUGAUUUGCUUCUGUCUUUGUUAUCACAGCUUCAAGCCCAGUGUGGCAACUUAGAGACAGGAAGACCUGAGCCCCAGUUCUGCCUCAUAAUCUGGUUUGCUGUAACCCCAUUUGAAUCACUAGAGCUCUGGUCUCAGUUUCUUCAUUGUCGGGCUCAACAGCCUCAACAGUUCUUUCCAACUCAAGAAUCCUAUCACUUCACCAUUUUCCUUGGCUUCACAACCAAGAAAGGAGCAGCUCCACCUUCUCCCCAUCCUUCAUCACUUUCAUCUCUUUCUACUCAAAGUGUUCUCAAGUGUUCUCUUAGCCUCCUCUUUUUUCUUCCUAGAGCUAGAAUACAGAACAUAACCAAAGUUCUUGGCUUCCCUGCCAGCCGGCCCAGAGUCUGAGGUCAGAGUCUUUUUGCUGCUGCCCUUUCUAUUCACCCUCUCACCUAUAUUUUCAUCUUCCCUACCAAGCUUUAUGAAGCUGGAGGUGGUUAGCAGGGGCCUCAAAUGUACUGCACUUACAUCCCUCCUCCCACUGCAUGCUGCUGCUUUAGCUCUCAGAUCAAGGGGACCAGGGACCAGGGGCUGCCUCUUCCUCACUGAUCAUUCAUUCUCCUUAGAUUCGUCUUGGGUCUUUCAUUCAGAUAUUUUAUUCAGGAUCAAGGCCAACAUGACUCUGCUGUCCCAAGUUAGUCAUUUCUGCCUCUCAAAAUAAUUUCUAAGUGGCAUUUGGAAAGAUAAGAACAUGAACCUAAGAAUCCCCCAAAUCUGUCCCAAUAAGCACCCUAGAAGCUCUUAUUCUGGGGACCCUCUGCUCUUUCUGAGGGCCACGGGGAGUUUAGUACCAUUCCUCAUGUCCUGCAGAAGGACCUGGGCUUCUCAAGAGAAGUCUCUCUGUGUCCCCUGUAACUCCUCCCUGAUCUCUGAAGCGUCCAGCUUUUCAGAGUCUUUAGUUUCACAGACUCAUUGCAAGCACUGCCAGCCGCCUCAGGACCUUCCACAAUCCAGUAAUUUUGUCCCUGGUCAGCUGGGAUUCAGCUCCUAUCUUCUUCCCAGGAUACCAGGGUAGGGAUCAUAUGAUCUAAGGUCUUUUGACUGAGAUAAGAAAUCCCAACUGGGAAAUAAAUGCAAAAUGCCAAAGAAUCAGCAAAGAAUGACGAAGAUAAGGGACCUGCAACUUUGUCACCUCCUUCCUUACCACGCUCCUGCACUAAAGGCCACACUUGCCCGCUUCAGGGCUGAGAAUAACAUUUGAGACCCCACAUGGGGAAUAGGGACAUGAGGGUGGGCCCAGAAGAUGGCAGAAAGAUUACUGAGCUCCUUGGGGAAGCACUCUGAGUGUGACUCAGUACUCAAGCCAAAGACCCAAAGGUUCUGAAAGAGUGGGAGGAGAAAUUGUCUUUGAGGAACUAUGAAGAGCAAAGAUUUGUUUGGUUUGUGCCAUCACCCUUCCCAGAACCUCACAGACUCCAUCUCAUUUAAUUGGUGCAACUCUGUGAAGUUGCUGCUUUUACACUCCCAUUUUAUAGAUGAAAAUUUAUAGAAAAAAAAAAACUUUCUGGUUCCAUCUGGGACCAGAAACUGAGAUUUGCCUAAUGAUCUCAGAUAUUUGUGUCUGGGGAAAAGUAUGAGUCCAGGUCUUCCUGACUCCAAGUCCAUCAGUUUAUCCACUCUAGUACACAGUCUCUGAGGAAAUAAAGACUUACCUUUCUUGAAAGGAGUGUAUCUGCUUUGCAGAGAAGAUGGCUCCCUGGAGAGACUGCCAGAGAAUCGGCCCAAGGGGGGGCCUGAGCAUGUGUGACUGGGAGGAAUCAAGAACUCCCUUGAGUUUCCUGUGGGGUUUUCACUGGCCAAUCACUGUGUGAUUUCAACUGGCCCCAGUUCGGUUAGAAAGUGUCUCUUCAAUAAGAUUUAUCUUCUUGGUCAUAUCCUCUUGAUUCUGCUAAGAUGUCCUCUACUCUGCUUGUCAUAGCCCCAUCUGGGCGCCCAGAACCACAUUCUGGUUUUGUAGACCUCACUUUCAAGCUAUUCCUCAAGUCAAGUGUACCUUGGGCAAAACUAGACGCACUUUCAGAAGAUGAUACCCACCCAGUGCCCAUCUUUUCUUACAGAGACACAGAGACAGAGAAAGAGAGAGGGAGGAAGGGAGGGAGUGAGACAGAGACAGACAGAGAGGGA
ensembl:lncRNA